UACAGAGGUCCCAAGCGUUGUUCGGAUUCACUGGGCGUAAAGGGUGCGUAGGUGGCUUGGUAAGUUUGAUGUGAAAUCUCCGGGCUUAACCCGGAAAUGGCAUUGAAUACUAUUGAGCUGGAGGUUUGGAGGGGACUGGAAUUCUCGGUGUAGCAGUGAAAAUGCGUAGAUAUCGAAAGGAACACCAGUGGCGAAGGCGAGUCCCUGGACAACACCUGACACUGAGGCACGAAAGCUAGGGGAGCAAAACGGG
rnacentral:rRNA from 1 species